UUGUCUUUUGACUAAAUUUUAAAGGUGAUAUAUCAUGAAUAUCUGACUUUUCCAGGUUUUAAGUGCUAUAAUCAGGUCCCCGGUGCAUCU